GUGUUUUUACCUACUGCCAAAUCUCUCAUCAGCCAGAGCCUGUUUUAUAGGGGCAUAUUUUGUUGUUGCUUUUUUAGUUUAUUUCAAUCCCUGAUGUAGAGUAUUUGUAAAAAAUUGUGUGAAGGAUUUUACGGCCUUGUAUGACUAUAUUUUAUUCAGGAGUUUUAUAUAUAUAUAUGUAUUUCUUAAUGAGACCACAGUUUCUGGAGAGGGUUGCUGAUUAUCUCUUCUUACCAAACCAAGGUAACAGGUGGUAGAAAAGUGCCUAAGGAUACUCAGUGAUGCAAUGGUCAAAGGAUGGAAAGUGGUCUCUUGACUCCAAAUAUUGUAGAUGUGUUGGAGUCCUGGAAGGAUUGGAUUCCCUAGGCAACCUCAGCAUAUCUCCACGGAAAAACUUCUAUCCAGAUAUGCUUUUAAAUACCACGAAGGAAGUGAAAUGUAUAGUCCAUUUAAGAACCAAAUUCCUGGCUGAAGAACCAAAUUAGAUUCACAAGUAAUGGGAAUGCUAGGGGAAAAGACCAGCUUGCAAACGACCAGCCAUGUGCAUAUGCCUGUAACA
rnacentral:lncRNA from 10 species